rnacentral:tRNA from 1 species
GGGCGCGUGGCUCAGUGGUAGAGCGCCAAACUGAUAAUUUGGAGGUCCAUGGUUCGAUCCCAUGCGCGCCCA